GGAUGAAUAAGUAUUGCCUUUGACUAAGAAGCAAACUCCAGCAUCAUGGUGCCAGUCAUAUAUUUAUUGAAAAUGAUCUGUUUGGUGCCAUCGCACAGGAGCCCAAUAUCUUGACAGGUCCUGUCGGCAGGAACCACGUUAUAUCUGUGGCAGCCUUAAUGUCACAUUAAAUGUCUAAUUGAUGCAACCAUGAAACUACUACCACAGGAGAGAUGGAUUCGAACUCUCAACACUGCACAUCGCAUGCAAAGACACAACCUACUGAGCCACAAC